AUAAGUAUCCAUUGAUAUGUGUGACAAAACAUACCAACUGGUGUCAACAUCAGCUAGGCUAUGUUGGCAUUUUCUGAUGGUUCUUCAUGACUGAUCAUAAGUUUCUUAUGGAUCCCCAGUUGCUGCCUCCUUCUGAAGCACAGUUGGGUCAUCAAAUAUAUUUUACUGUCUGAAAAUAGGUCGCCGCCCGAUGUUAUUAGAGAGGCUGAAAACCAGACUGGAACAGGCUCUUCAAAGGCAGCCUCUGGACCUGGACUAUUUAGAGUUCCUCUGUACCCGUGAGUUGAGCCUAGUUCACUGAGUACUCACAUGCCAUUUCCAGAAGAGGUCAUAGGCAGACGGGAAAAGCAGGCCUUAAGAGGGCUACAGGAUACUGGGGUGCUCCCAAUGAUAACAGAACGGCCAGAACUGGCUAGAGUUCUGUUCCCACAAGGUGUCUCAUCUCUGAUGGAUCCUAAGAUGAUUUUGAAAAGAGAGGUUUGACCAGAUGAGGCGGAGGUUGACGAAGAUGAAAUGGAAGACUGCCGUGUCACAGCCUACCUCAGACAAUACGUUGCCGUGCCUACCUCAGACAUUACGUUGUAAGCGUUUCUUUAGAGACAUUGAAAGACCUGGUGGUCUUCUGGACGGGAUGGUCUGUUGGCAGGGGCAAUGCCGACUGUACUUUGAAACUCCCCUAGGGACAAGAAUGUAUGACACCUUCAAAGAAGCUAUGAAUGCAGCGCUGAAAUAAAGCAAUUAUGGUUUUGGCUUGAUCUAGUGUUGUUUUCUGCAAGUUCAAUGCAGUAUAGUCAACAAUUUCAGUGUUUCAGACGGUGACCAGAGUUCCAGUUGUUCAAUGAAUAAACUAUGCAAUGAGAAA